rnacentral:rRNA from 1 species
GACGAACGCUGGCGGCGUGCUUAACACAUGCAAGUCGAACGGAAAGGCCCUGCUUUUGUGGGGUGCUCGAGUGGCGAACGGGUGAGUAACACGUGAGUAACCUGCCCUUGACUUUGGGAUAACUUCAGGAAGCUGGGGCUAAUACCGGAUAGGAGCUCCUGCUGCAUGGUGGGGGUUGGAAAGUUUCGGCGGUUGGGGAUGGAUUCGCGGCUUAUCAGCUUGUUGGUGGGGUAGUGGCUUACCAAGGCUUUGACGGGUAGCCGGCCUGAGAGGGUGACCGGCCACAUUGGGACUGAGAUACGGCCCAGACUCCUACGGGAGGCAGCAGUGGGGAAUAUUGCACAAUGGGCGGAAGCCUGAUGCAGCAACGCCGCGUGCGGGAUGACGGCCUUCGGGUUGUAAACCGCUUUCGCCUGUGACGAAGCGUGAGUGACGGUAAUGGGUAAAGAAGCACCGGCUAACUACGUG